rnacentral:rRNA from 1 species
UUGGCGGAUGACCUGUGGAUCGGAGUGAAAGGCUAAUCAAGCUCGGAGAUAGCUGGUUCUCCUCGAAAGCUAUUUAGGUAGCGCCUCAUGUCUCACCUUGGGGGGUAGAGCACUGUUUCGGCUAGGGGGUCAUCCCGACUUACCAACCCGAUGCAAACUCCGAAUACCCAAGAGUGCAAUCAUGGGAGACACACGGCGGGUGCUAACGUCCGUCGUGAAAAGGGAAACAACCCAGACCGCCAGCUAAGGUCCCAAACUUCUAGUUAAGUGGGAAACGAUGUGGGAAGGCUCAGACAGCUAGGAGGUUGGCUUAGAAGCAGCCAUCCUUUAAAGAAAGCGUAAUAGCUCACUAGUCGAGUCGGCCUGCGCGGAAGAUAUAACGGGGCUCAAACUAGAGACCGAAGCUGCGGAUGCGUUUAUACGCAUGGUAGAGGAGCGUUCUGUAAGCUGUUGAAGCGGAAGCUGUAAGGCACCGUGGAGGUAUCAGAAGUGCGAAUGUUGACAUAAGUAACGAUAAAGGGAGUGAAAAACUCCCUCGCCGGAAGACCAAGGGUUCCUAUCCAACGUUAAUCGGGGUAGGGUGAGUCGACCCCUAAGAUGAGGCUGAAAAGCGUAAUCGAUGGGAAGCAGGUUAAUAUUCCUGCACCUCGCAUAGCUGCGAUGGAGAGACGGAGAAGGCUAGGCUAGCGCGGCGUUGGUUGUCCGCGUUUAAGGAUGUAGGUUUGGAACUUAGGCAAAUCCGGGUUCCUAUAUGACUGAGAUCUGAUGACGAGCUCCUAUAUGGAGUGAAGUAGUUGAUGCCCGGCUUCCAGGAAAAUCUUCUAAGCUUCAGGCUAUGUGGGAUCGUACCCCAAACCGACACAGGUGGUCAGGUUGAGAAUACCAAGGCGCUUGAGAGAACUCGGGUGAAGGAACUAGGCAAAAUGGCACCGUAACUUCGGGAGAAGGUGCGCCGGUUUUGGUGAUGGGACUUGCUCCCUAAGCUGAGGCCGGUCGAAGAUACCAGGUGGCUGCGACUGUUUAUUAAAAACACAGCACUCUGCAAACACGAAAGUGGACGUAUAGGGUGUGACGCCUGCCCGGUGCUUGAAGGUUAAUUGAUGGGGUUAGCUCACGCGAAGCUCUUGAUCGAAGCCCAAGUAAACGGCGGCCGUAACUAUAACGGUCCUAAGGUAGCGAAAUUCCUUGUCGGGUAAGUUCCGACCUGCACGAAUGGCGUAACGAUGGCCACACUGUCUCCACCCGAGACUCAGUGAAAUUGAACUCGCUGUGAAGAUGCAGCGUACCCGCGGCUAGACGGAAAGACCCCGUGAACCUUUACUAUAGCUUCACACUGGACUUUGACCUUACUUGUGUAGGAUAGCUGGGAGGCUUUGAAACUUGGACGCCAGUUCAAGUGGAGCCGAUCUUGAAAUACCAGCCUGGUAACGUUGAAGUCCUAACUCAGGUCCCUGAUCGGGAUCGAGGACAGUGUGUGGUGGGUAGUUUGACUGGGGCGGUCUCCUCCCAAAGAGUAACGGAGGAGCACGAAGGUACCCUCAGCAUGGUCGGAAAUCAUGCAAUGAGCGCAAGAGUAAAAGGGUGCUUGACUGCGACACAGACACGUGGAGCAGGUACGAAAGUAGGUUCUAGUGAUCCGGUGGUUCUGUAUGGAAGGGCCAUCGCUCAACGGAUAAAAGGUACUCCGGGGAUAACAGGCUGAUACCGCCCAAGAGUUCACAUCGACGGCGGUGUUUGGCACCUCGAUGUCGGCUCAUCACAUCCUGGGGCUGAAGCCGGUCCCAAGGGUAUGGCUGUUCGCCAUUUAAAGUGGUACGCGAGCUGGGUUUAGAACGUCGUGAGACAGUUCGGUCCCUAUCUGCCGUGGGCGUUUGAGAUUUGAGAAGAGUUGCUCCUAGUACGAGAGGACCGGAGUGAACGAACCUCUGGUGUUCCGGUUGUCACGCCAGUGGCAUUGCCGGGUAGCUAUGUUCGGACGGGAUAACCGCUGAAAGCAUCUAAGCGGGAAGCCCCCUUCAAGAUGAGAUCUCACUGGACCUUUAAGGUCCCUAAAGAGCCGUUCAAGACUAGGACGUUGAUAGGCUGGGUGUGUAAGCGUUGUGAGGCGUUGAGCUAACCAGUACUAAUUGCUCGUGAGGCUUGACCAU